rnacentral:rRNA from 1 species
UACGUAGGGGGCUAGCGUUGUCCGGAAUCAUUGGGCGUAAAGCGCGUGUAGGCGGUCCGGUAAGUCCGCUGUGAAAGUCGGGGGCUCAACCCUCGGAUGCCGGUGGAUACUGUCGGGCUAGAGUGCGGAAGAGGCGAGUGGAAUUCCUGGUGUAGCGGUGAAAUGCGCAGAUAUCAGGAGGAACACCAAUUGCGAAGGCAGCUCGCUGGGACGUUACUGACGCUGAGACGCGAAAGCGUGGGGAGCGAACAGG